UACGGAGGAUCCAAGCGUUGUCCGGAUUUAUUGGGUUUAAAGGGUGCGUAGGCGGGUUAUUAAGUCAGUGGUGAAAGCCGGCAGCUCAACUGUCGAACUGCCAUUGAAAACUGAUAGCCUAGAAUCUAGUAGAGGUAGGCGGAAUGUAUCAUGUAGCGGUGAAAUGCUUAGAUAUGAUACAGAACACCAAUUGCGAAAGCAGCUUACUAUGCUAGUAUUGACGCUGAGGCACGAAAGCGUGGGGAUCAAACAGG
rnacentral:rRNA from 1 species